UACUACCUACGGGACGCAGCAGUGGGGAAUAUUGGGCAAUGGGCGCAAGCCUGACCCAGCAACGCCGCGUGAAGGAAGAAGGCUUUCGGGUUGUAAACUUCUUUUCUCAGGGACGAAGCAAGUGACGGUACCUGAGGAAUAAGCCACGGCUAACUACGUGCCAGCAGCCGCGGUAAUACGUAGGUGGCAAGCGUUAUCCGGAUUUACUGGGUGUAAAGGGCGUGUAGGCGGGGACGCAAGUCAGAUGUGAAAAACACGGGCU
rnacentral:rRNA from 1 species